rnacentral:lncRNA from 1 species
GCUCUACUUCUAGCUCUGCCACUUAUUAAUGGGUGAUUUGGAAUACAAAUAAGCCCCAGUUUUCUUAUCCACAAAAUGGGAAUGCUUUAGUCCAUGCUUUUUCCACAAGGACAUCACAGGAGUCAACUGUGACCAUAGAAAACAUAACAGUUUGUGGAUUAGCUACUGGACAUAAAUUAUGGGAGAAGACAUGGUGUAGCCAAUAGAAAGAAAAAUGAGCUUGGGAGAGAAUCUCCAGCUCAGGUACUGGUUUGACUAGUUACUUAUUUUGCUUCUAUGUGUUUAUUACUGAAUUUUGCUGAGUCCCAACUUUUCUUUAGGAUGAGGGGAUUCAUACCCGCAUGCCUACUCAAAUGAAUUUAUUCAUAUAAAAAUAGAAUGAGUUAGCAUUUAACUGUGCCAGGCACGAGGGAUAUAGUGCUGAAUUAUACCUCAACUGUCUUGCAAUGGUGUAGCUUACAGCCUAGUGGAAGAAAUAAUAGAUUAAAAAAAUUACUUUUAAAGACAUUCUAGAUAAAUUUUUAUUUACCUAUCUAUUUUUCCAGAUUUUUCUUGGUACAUUGUAAUUAUACAGAAUAGUGGGAUUUGUGGUUACAUAUUGUACAUGUACAGGAUAUAGCAAUAUAAUUUGACCAAUAUCAUUCCCCCAUAUUUCCCCUUUCUCUGUUCUCCUCCCUCUAGAUAAACUUCUAGAGCCAACCAUUUAUCUUAUUCUGUGGUCCCAAGUGUUCCAAAUAUAAGCAAAAGUCUCAGUAAUUUCUGGAUUGCUAUUCAGAGAAUACAUGAAGUUGGCUUCAAAAAAAUACAUGAAGUUGGAUUUCCAUGUUUACUUGUAAAAUACAUGGGAAAAUCUCUAGCAGAGUGUUUCAAAUGUUUAAGAAUAAAUAGACAUGAAGAUACCAGAUCAAAUUCUCCACAUGUGUAAAGGUACAUAUAUUUUUAUUGAAGUUACAAUAAUGUCAAUAAGAAUAAAGAGAGAGACUGUAUACAUACAUUUUGUCUGUUGAAUGUACAUGCUUCAGUUUUAUAAUACCUCACAUAAAUUAAGUUUGCUUAAAGAUGCAAUAAACAGAAUUAGUUAGCUAAUUUUGUAUGCUGCCAGUCGAGGACCAGAAC